ACGGCUGCUUGCGGCCAUUGGUUACUGCAGGGCAUGGGGAGCGGGUGAGGAAAGGGGAUUCGGCAGCCUCCUGCGAAAACAAGCCACGCGCCCCAAACAUAAGGUUAUGCAACUGUGUGUAAAUCCUCGUCUCCUCAGGAGAUGCGCAGAGCACGGACCUCACAGCAACCUCCAGGAUCUGGAGGGGGGCUACUGGGAAGCCGGAGAGUGGCUCUGUUAGGAACUGUAGUGAUAGGGCAAGGAGAAAUAGGUACAGACUUAGAGGGGAAAUUUAGGUAAGAUACUGAGAAUAAAUCUUUUAAGGUGAGGCUGGUGAGAAGCCAGAACAGGUUGCUGAAGGAGGUUGCCCCAGCCCUGGCAGUGUUCAAGGCCAGGCUGGAUAAGGCCUUAAAAAACUUAAGUCUAGUGGGAGGUGUCCCUCCCCAUGGCAGAGUGGGUCGGGGACAGAUGAUCUUUAAGGUCCAUUCCAAUCCCUUAACAAAUUCUGUGAUUCUGUGCUUCCUGGAGAGGCAGGAACUGAAGUGCUUGAGCAAAGAGGUGCUUCUGAAGGCAAGACAUGGAUGUGUCCUGGGAGCAUGGCAGGACAGGCAGUGGGUGCUCAGGAGAGACUGCAUGAAAAUCAGGGGAUUCCAGAAGCUCCUCCUGUGAGAUAUGUGGGGGUCUGUCUCUGCAGUGUGGUGACUGUGACUGUUUGAAGCACUGAACGCUGCUCCUGAUGAGCAGUGGGAAUCAUCACAUCAGCCUCCUGCAGCACACAAAGGGCAUUUCUCCCUUGUUGCCAGAGAUUGACUGUUCUGAGUUGUUCAGACUGCUUCAAACACAUGAAGAGUGUUACCUUUCAGACACAGCAGAGCUUGAGGAUAGGACUGAAGUUUGGGGAACAUGGGGACAGUGAAACAGCUGCUGAGAUGCUAAUGUCCACCACCCACACAGCCCCUUUCAGUUCCAUCUGCUGGUGUGCCUCUGUGACCUGUCUUUUCCUACAAUGCAUAUCCAAAAUGCAACAGAAUGCAAACUACCCUUUCCAUGUCAAAACCCUUCAGUGCACACGCACUUCUGCCUUGAGGGAGAGGACAAGAGAGUGAAUGGGAUGUGACAGAUGUCAGUCACAUCGCUUAACGCCUCACUGCCAGGCACUGGGAUGCUGCUGCGAUGUGGGCAGCGUGAGAGGCAGACCAGCAUAAAUCUGGGAGAGGAACUGAGACAGAAAGAUCAAACACAGCCAAACUGGAAUGUCGCUGGGGCACUGGAGUGCAGAGCCUUUGCACUGCAAAAUGGUCCUGGGGAUAUGGAGUGACUGUGGGCAUUUUCUGUGUCAGCUGACUGAAGUCAGGCAAUGGUUGAAGGGUUUCAUUCAAAUGAAUGCACUUUGGGACAGUAUUUUAAGAAAACCUCAAAAGGAUAAGAGGAAGACAAAGGCCCCCUACUCUGAUUCUGUGAAUCAGCAUUAAUGCCAUCAAGGUGUUGCUCCUUUCCAUUCUGUCUCCCCAAAAGCAUUUCUAAGGUGAUUUCAUUCUGGCCCUUCAGAGACACUGACAGAAACCCUGUAAUGCAGCUGAGGGACUUACUUGUUGGAAAUCUUCUCAGAGCCCACAUACAGGGCACUCCUCAUGAGUCCAGCCCGAGUGCCCAGAAACGCCAUCUCAACGCCUGCCUCAGUAUCCCUGUGGAACAGAAGUACACAAGCAGAAGCACACAAUUCUCAUAAGAACAGCCAUGAUCCAGGGUGAGAGCCUUUCAAACUUGAAGCCACAUCUGCAGACCUGCUCCCAAGUUCAUUUGCUAAAGUUCAUUUACAGCAGGAGUGACAGUGGCUCCUCCCUGCUAAUGGCAACAGGUUGUUACUGGCUGACAACUGGCAGGUUUAAGACUUUUGCUCAGGUUUAAACCUUUGAAGUCUGCUUAUUUCAUUCUCUUUUAAGUAGGCCAUAGGCUCCUCUGCCCCUGCUAGCUCUGCUCCAGGCUACUCUCAUGAGGCUGAAGUGCAGGAGAGGAACUGCAGAAGGAGAAUGGCUGGAUUAGGGAUGCAGAACAGCCAAGGUAGCAGAAUGUGACUAAAAAGAGUGUGUUGGUGUAGCUAUUUAAAGCUGUGCUGAUAACUGUGUGUCCUAGCAGGACUGUCACUGGCUCAGCUUCUGUUAGUGCAGGGAUACAAGGAACUGAAGCAGGGACAGGAGUCCAGUGGCCAUGUAUUUCAGUAAGUAGCACGUUGUCUGCUGAAAGAAGAUCUGUGUGACAUGACACAAGACACCACAAGCAACAGGUGCCACUGGAAAUAAUAAAAUAUAAAGUUGUUUACUGAAACAAGCCUGUCCACUAUCUUCCUGAGGUACAAUCUAGAGGUACCACCAAGAGAGACAAUACCAAUCUCUCUUUUCUCCACUAGAAAAACCCUCACCAAAGUAAAGACUCUCCCAAGGACGCCCAGCUCACUGGAGUUCACUCCUGAGAGACACUUUUCAAGCUUUUUCUAAAGCUAUUGAACUAUUUCUAUCAGCUUUUGGAGCUAUUUCUACAGUUACUUGUAUGCUGUGCAAAAGUUUGUGACUAUUUCAGGCACUGCAUAAACCCAUAGUGGUGCUCUAGCCACAUUUAUGUCUCAUAAAUAUCUCAUACACUUACAAGGACAUGUUGAGUGCUAGUGUUGUCCAGUAGGCCUCCAUGGGGGCAGUGACCACUGCAUCAAACAGCACUUCCUGGACCAAUUCUUCAUCACCUACAGAGAAAAAGGAAUAACAAAUAUCAGGAGAGAAAGACAUGUUUUUCUCUAGAUGUUUUAGGGAGUCCCUUGGUGAGGAGCACCUGCUUGUCUAGGACAGUAAAUCAAUGUGGCACAAAAAAAAAAAGAUCUCCCAUUACAGGGCAGAGAAGAGAUCUAACACCCUGGGUGGUGGAAAACACAAGAGCAGAUGUUACAGCCAAGAUCACAGAAUUACAGAAUCAAUGAGGUUGGAAAAGACCUCUGAGAUCAUCAAGUCCAACCUAUUACCCAGCACCACCGUGUCAACCAAACCACAGUGCUCAGCACCACAUCCCGUGGCAUUCACAUUCUCUGAACAGAGAGAGACAUAAUUCUCUCUCCCAGGAUUCUUCCUGGAAAAGCACAGAGAGAGGAAAAGAAAACAAUUGUUAUCUCUAUUCUCUGCUCCUGUUGUUUUUGCACAUGUGGAAUGUGUUAGGAAGGUUGUUUACCUGAAGGGAUUUGGUAAUUGGAUUCUGGUGAUGGUUGUUUAUAUCAAUUAACCAAUCACUCGAAGCUGUGCCUGUCUGGACACAGUCAUGGGUUUUUCUUUAGUAUAUUCUGUAUAAUAUAGUACAAUAUCUCUUUAGUAUAGUUAUAAUAUAGUAUUAAUGUAAUAUAGCAUAGUUUUAAUAAAGUAAUUGUUCAGCCUUCUGAA